GCACCCGUAGCUUAAUUGGAUAGAGCAUCUGACUACGGAUCAGAAGGUUAGGGGUUCGACUCCUUCGGGUGCA
rnacentral:tRNA from 1 species